UGUAAAGCUACGCACAUCUGUAGGCAGCUCCUAGGCUUGGUUUCUCAAAAACACCACGCCGUCGUCCUCCUUGAUCUGACAUUAAAGGCCCAGGGCGUGAGAUGAUUGCCCUCUGCGUCAGGUAGACUGACUCAUCUUGACAGGUGUGAAAGCCUGGGUCGGCUGGGCCUCUUCCUUCUUCCUGCGGUGCCGGGUGACGUCGCUAUGCCUUCGGGGACGGAAUAGAGGCUGUGGCGGAGUUCUGGAGGUCAGAGCCAAUCGUGGAGAUCUCUUGCGCUAUGGCUCAGAUUAUUUCCAAACCCUUCUAAAAUGAAGAUAGAUACCUCGAAACACUGAGGAUUGCCCCUCACUGUUUAUUAUGUAGCGUUUCACCUUGAAGGUCUUCAUCAGAGACUUUUGAAGCUAACCCUUAACAUUUAUAUCCCAGUGUCCUGUUGUACUGUAACAGACUGAAUCAUUGGGGCAUUGUGCUGUUGACUGUUGACUUCCUGUUAUGUGCUCAAACCCCAUGUGAUCAUUCCACUUGAUGUUGUUGAAUCUUCUGACCCUGUCUGGGGUAUUUUCAACUCCUCUGGUUCUCCUUCACUGUGAGCCUGUCUAUAGUUUUGCUAAAUAGGAUUUGUAUAUUGUCUAGGAAUGUAUUCACUGUGUGCGUGACUAAUAGAGACCACCAAAUAGGAUACUUAGAUUAUUUUAGUUUUUUACAAUCCUUCAUAUUGUAUGUUUUAUGUACUGUAUAACAUUUAAAGAUGAUGCAAUUACAAGUAGUUUAAUAGCACAUAUAACAGGUAUAAACAUUUGUUUUGCUGUUAUAUGUAUGAAUGAACCAAGGGGUUCUAAAACUGACCACAGAGAUUUCGUAAGUUACAGGAUGGUCAAGUUUGACAUCACAUAUGAAAACAUUACUGUUUUGACUGUUAAUUUGAAGUCAACAAUUGUUAUCUGAUGCCAUUUAGCUACACUUAACCAAAGCUUUGUCCCCCUGCUUGUAGGUAUUUGUCACUGAUAAGGCGUUGUUUUGUCAAUAGUCUUUCACUGAGUGAUGCUGUGAAAAUGUAGAGAACAAACUAAUUUCACCUUAAAGCACAAUAUAUUUUUUGUACCAAACUCAUGUUCUUUGGUAUUUAGAUGAGCACUUGACCGCCCCGUUUUGUUGGGUAAAAUAUAUCCUACAUCCUUCAUCUCUUAAUGCAAUUCAAAUGUUAUUAAAGCCUAAAAUGUUUGCUUAGUGACCUGAAGGUCAUAGAGCCAUGGCCUCUAACGACGGCCCAGAGGUGUUUUCUGAUUGGGUGGUGUGUUCUGGAAGAAACUCCAAAUAACUGCCACUGUAUUCAUUGUGUAUCUCCUUCCAAUUACUGAGUUGUUAUUGGACAGUGACUUCAACCCAAAUGGCUCCCCGUUCCCUUCAGCAUGGCCCUUAUACCCAACUGGCAGACAGAUAGAUCAGAUCCUAACCCACAACUAUUAAAACAAGGUGUUGGUUCACAACCCUGUUUCCAGAAAAGUUGAUAUGCUGCGUAAAAUGUAAAGAGAAACAGAAUGCAAUGAUGUGCAAAUCAUUUAAACCCUAUAUUUAAUAGAUAGUACAAAGACAACAUAUCAAAUGUAGAAACUGAGACAUUUUAUGGUUUCUUGAAAAAUAUAUGCCCAUUUUGAAUUUGAUGCCAGCAAUACGCUUCAAAAAAGCUUGGGACAGAGGUAACAAAAGACUGUAGAAGUUGUGUAAUGCUAAAAAGCUAAACCUGGUGGAAUUUCACUAAUUAGGUCAAUUGGCAACAGGUCAGUAACAUGAUUAGGUAUUAAAAGAUCAUCCCAGAGGAUGGGUCUGUCAGAACUGAGGAUGGGGAGGGGUUCACCACUCUGUGGAAGACUGCAUGGGCAAAUAGUGCAACAAUUUUUAGAAUAUUGUUUUUCAAUGUAAAAUUGCAAAGAGUUUGGGGAUCUCAUCAUCUACAGUACAUAAUAUUAUGAAAAGAUUCAGAGAAUCCAGAGAAUUAUCGGUAUGUAAGGGACAAGGCUGAAAACCAAUGCCCAUGAUCCUUGGGCCCUCAGGCAACACUGCAUUAAAAACAGACAUGAUUCUGUAGUGGAAAUGGGCUCAAGAACACUCCCAAUACCACUGUCUCUGAACACAGUAUGUCCUGCAUCCACAAAUGCAAGGUAAAACUCUACCAAGCAAAGCAGAAACCAUAUAUAAAUAUUGCAUUCAUUUUUCCUUUGCAUAUUACACAGCGUUCCAACUUUUUGGGAAACAGGGUUGUAAUGUUGCUGUGACUGAACGACAGGGAAUGAGGAGAGCAGUAGAACAGUUAAACUGUGUUUGCCUCAUAGCAAAAGUGUGUGGAAUUACAGGAAAUGAAAGGGCAACAUUUUGUUUUCUUGCCAACCAGAGGGCUGUUAACAGUUUUGGUAUUGCUUACUUUGUGAGGUGCGAUCUGUUACUAGCUGAUCAAUUACAAAAUUAAUUCGGAUCAUUGCCGCCUAGGAAAUGUGUUUAACUGGAUCUUCUUGGAUAAUACUUGAGUCGGGUCCCUUGGUGUUCUGGUCACAGUAGAUGGAAUAGGGAUCCAUUUGGGCCCUCCAUCUCUAACCUGCCUCUGACUGUCUGCGUUACUGUACCUUUUACUGUUGUUGACUUUGGAUCUGUGAUGUGUGAAUAAAGGUAGCUAAAACAAA
ensembl:lncRNA